rnacentral:rRNA from 1 species
GCCGUGCCGCCAGCCUACACAUGCAGUCGAGCGGUAACAGAUCCAGCUUGCUGGAUGCUGACGAGCGGCGGACGGGUGAGUAAUGCAUAGGAAUCUACCCGGUAGUGGGGGAUAACCUGGGGAAACCCAGGCUAAUACCGCAUACGUCCUACGGGAGAAAGGGGGCUUUGGCUCCCGCUAUCGGAUGAGCCUAUGCCGGAUUAGCUGGUUGGUGAGGUAACGGCUCACCAAGGCGACGAUCCGUAGCUGGUCUGAGAGGAUGAUCAGCCACAUCGGGACUGAGACACGGCCCGAACUCCUACGGGAGGCAGCAGUGGGGAAUAUUGGACAAUGGGGGCAACCCUGAUCCAGCCAUGCCGCGUGUGUGAAGAAGGCCCUCGGGUUGUAAAGCACUUUCAGCGAGGAAGAACGCCUGGUGGUUAAUACCCGCCAGGAAAGACAUCACUCGCAGAAGAAGCACCGGCUAACUCCGUGCCAGCAGCCGCGGUAAUACGGAGGGUGCAAGCGUUAAUCGGAAUUACUGGGCGUAAAGCGCGCGUAGGUGGCUUGAUAAGCCGGUUGUGAAAGCCCCGGGCUCAACCUGGGAACGGCAUCCGGAACUAUCAGGCUAGAGUGCAGGAGAGGAAGGUAGAAUUCCCGGUGUAGCGGUGAAAUGCGUAGAGAUCGGGAGGAAUACCAGUGGCGAAGGCGGCCUUCUGGACUGACACUGACACUGAGGUGCGAAAGCGUGGGUAGCAAACAGGAUUAGAUACCCUGGUAGUCCACGCCGUAAACGAUGUCGACCAGCCGUUGGGUGCCUAGCGCACUUUGUGGCGAAGUUAACGCGAUAAGUCGACCGCCUGGGGAGUACGGCCGCAAGGUUAAAACUCAAAUGAAUUGACGGGGGCCCGCACAAGCGGUGGAGCAUGUGGUUUAAUUCGAUGCAACGCGAAGAACCUUACCUACCCUUGACAUCUUGCGAACUCUGAGUAGAGAUCUCUGUUGGUGCCUUCGGGAGCUGCAGAGACAGUGCUGCAUGGCUGUCGUCAGCUCGUGUUGUGAAAUGUGGGUUAAGUCCCGUAACGAGCGCAACCCUUGUCUUAUUUGCAGCGGUAAUGCCGGGAACUCUAAAGAAGACUGCGGUGACAACCCGAGAAGGUGGGACGACGUCAGUCAUCAUGGCCUUACGGUUAGCUACCACGUGCUACAUGGGCGUACAGCCUGCGAGCUCGAGAGAAGUCAGCGAAUCCUAAGCUGUCUCUAGAUAUCCGGAAGUACUGGA